UUUUGGUGAAGUAAUGGCUCACCAAGGUGUCGACGGGUAGCCGNCCUGAGAGGGUGACCGGCCACACUGGGAGUGAGACACGNCCCAGANUCNUACGGGAGGCAGCAGUGGGGAAUAUUGCACAAUGGGCGAAAGCCUGAUGCAGCAACGNCGCGUGAGGGAUGACGGCCUUNGUUGUAAACNUNUUUUANCAGGGAAGAAGNGAAAGCGGUACCUGCAGAAAAAGCGCCGGCUAACUANGUGCCAGCAGCCGNGGUAAUANGUAGGGCGCAAGCNUUAUCCGGAANUAUUGGGCGUAAAGAGCUCGUAGNCGGUUUGUCGCGUCUGCUGUGAAAUCCCGAGGCUCAACCUCGGGCCCUGCAGUGGGUACGGGCAGACUAGAGUGCGGUAGGGGAGAUUGGAAUUCCUGGUGUAGCGGUGGAAUGCGCAGAUAUCAGGAGGAACACCGAUGGCGAAGGCAGAUCUCUGGGCCGUAACUGACGCUGAGGAGCGAAAGGGUGGGGAGCAAACAGGCUUAGAUACCCUGGUAGUCCACCCCGUAAACGUUGGGAACUAGUUGUGGGGUCCAUUCCACGGAUUCCGUGACGCAGCUAACGCAUUAAGUUCCCCGCCUGGGGAGUACGGCCGCAAGGCUAAAACUCAAAGGAAUUGACGGGGACCCGCACAAGCGGCGGAGCAUGCGGAUUAAUUCGAUGCAACGCGAAGAACCUUACCAAGGCUUGACAUAUACGAGAACGGGCCAGAAAUGGUCAACUCUUUGGACACUCGUAAACAGGUGGUGCAUGGUUGUCGUCAGCUCGUGUCGUGAGAUGUUGGGUUAAGUCCCGCAACGAGCGCAACCCUCGUUCUAUGUUGCCAGCACGUAAUGGUGGGAACUCAUGGGAUACUGCCGGGGUCAACUCGGAGGAAGGUGGGGAUGACGUCAAAUCAUCAUGCCCCUUAUGUCUUGGGCUUCACGCAUGCUACAAUGGCCGGUACAAAGGGCUGCAAUACCGUGAGGUGGAGCGAAUCCCAAAAAGCCGGUCCCAGUUCGGAUUGAGGUCUGCAACUCGACCUCAUGAAGUCGGAGUCGCUAGUAAUCGCAGAUCAGCAACGCUGCGGUGAAUACGUUCCCGGGUCUUGUACACACCGCCCGUCAAGUCAUGAAAGUCGGUAACACCUGAAGCCGGUGGCCUAACCCUUGUGGAGGGAGCUGUCGAAGGUGGGAUCGGUAAUUAGGACUAAG
rnacentral:rRNA from 1 species